GACGAACGCUGGCGGCGUGCUUAACACAUGCAAGUCGAACGGAAAGGCCCUGCUUGCAGGGUACUCGAGUGGCGAACGGGUGAGUAACACGUGGGUGAUCUGCCCUGCACUUCGGGAUAAGCCUGGGAAACUGGGUCUAAUACCGGAUAGGAGCCAUUUUUAGUGUGAUGGUUGGAAAGUUUUUUCGGUGUAGGAUGAGCUCGCGGCCUAUCAGCUUGUUGGUGGGGUAAUGGCCUACCAAGGCGGCGACGGGUAGCCGGCCUGAGAGGGUGGACGGCCACAGUGGGACUGAGAUACGGCCCAGACUCCGACGGGAGGCAGCAGGGGGGAAUAUUGCACAAUGGGCGCAAGCCGGAUGCAGCGACGCCGCGUGGGGGAUGACGGCCUUCGGGUUGUAAACUCCUUUCGCUAGGGACGAAGCUUUUUGUGACGGUACCUAGAGAAGAAGCACCGGCUAACUACGUG
rnacentral:rRNA from 1 species